rnacentral:rRNA from 1 species
GAUGAACGCUAGCUACAGGCUUAACACAUGCAAGUCGAGGGGAAACGACAUCGAAAGCUUGCUUUUGAUGGGCGUCGACCGGCGCACGGGUGAGUAACGCGUAUCCAACCUGCCCACCACUUGGGGAUAACCUUGCGAAAGUAAGACUAAUACCCAAUGAUAUCUCUAGAAGACAUCUGAAAGAGAUUAAAGAUUUAUCGGUGAUGGAUGGGGAUGCGUCUGAUUAGCUUGUUGGCGGGGUAACGGCCCACCAAGGCAACGAUCAGUAGGGGUUCUGAGAGGAAGGUCCCCCACAGUGGAACUGAGACACGGUCCAAACUCCUACGGGAGGCAGCAGUGAGGAAUAUUGGUCAAUGGACGAGAGUCUGAACCAGCCAAGUAGCGUGCAGGAAGACGGCCCUAUGGGUUGUAAACUGCUUUUAUAAGGGAAUAAAGUGAGUCUCGUGAGACUUUUUGCAUGUACCUUAUGAAUAAGGACCGGCUAAUUCCGUG